rnacentral:sRNA from 1 species
CGAGGAGGUCCGGAGUCAACGGGUUAUCAACCUUUGAACCGCAGUCCCGUCGGCAUCAACUUGACCUUCUU